ensembl:snoRNA predicted gene, 22010
UAUUUCAUGGUGCUGAACAUGACACCUUUGUUCUUCUUGUUGUUGUUUCCCUGAUAUAGACUUCUUGGGGACCAGAAAUAGGAAGUC